rnacentral:rRNA from 1 species
AGGACGAACGCUGGCGGCGUGCCUAAUACAUGCAAGUCAACGGCUUUCUAUGGAAGCUUGCUUCCACUGAGAAGAUAGUGGCGAACGGGUGAGUAACACGUGGGUAACCUGCCCAUAAGAGGGGGGAUAACAUCCGGAAACGGGUGCUAAUACCGCAUAGUUUUCUUGAUCGCAUGAUCGGGAAAGGAAAGACGGCCUUUGUGCUGUCGCUUAUGGAUGGACCCGCGGCGUAUUAGUUAGUUGGUGAGGUAACGGCUCACCAAGACGAUGAUACGUAGCCGACCUGAGAGGGUGAUCGGCCACAUUGGGACUGAGACACGGCCCAAACUCCUACGGGAGGCAGCAGUAGGGAAUCUUCCGCAAUGGACGAAAGUCUGACGGAGCAACGCCGCGUGAGUGAAGAAGGUUUUUUACCGGGAUCGUAAAACUCUGCUGUCAGAGAAGAACAAGUUGGAGAGUAACUGCUCCAGCCUUGACGGUAUCUGACCAGAAAGCCACGGCUAACUACGUGCCAGCCGCUGC